rnacentral:sRNA from 1 species
CGGCGUCUUAAGCGGCGCCCAGUGCAGGAUGGUGCUGGAGGCGGCGGCGGCCGUGGUGGCGGUAGCGUCGUUGGCGGCAGCGGGAGUGGGUGCGGCGGCAGCGGCGGCGGCGCCCGCGGGUGGUAUAAAAUGGCGGAUUUCGAAGAGUUGAGGAAUAUGGUUUCUAGUUUUAGGGUUUCUGAACUACAAGUAUUACUAGGCUUUGCUGGACGGAAUAAAAGUGGACGCAAGCAUGACCUCCUGAUGAGGGCGCUGCAUUUAUUGAAGAGCGGCUGCAGCCCUGCGGUUCAGAUUAAAAUCCGAGAAUUGUAUAGACGCCGAUAUCCACGAACUCUUGAAGGACUUUCUGAUUUAUCCACAAUCAAAUCAUCAGUUUUCAGUUUGGAUGGUGGCUCAUCACCUGUAGAACCUGACUUGGCCGUGGCUGGAAUCCACUCGUUGCCUUCCACUUCAGUUACACCUCACUCACCAUCCUCUCCUGUUGGUUCUGUGCUGCUUCAAGAUACUAAGCCCACAUUUGAGAUGCAGCAGCCAUCUCCCCCAAUUCCUCCUGUCCAUCCUGAUGUGCAGUUAAAAAAUCUGCCCUUUUAUGAUGUCCUUGAUGUUCUCAUCAAGCCCACGAGUUUAGUUCAAAGCAGUAUUCAGCGAUUUCAAGAGAAGUUUUUUAUUUUUGCUUUGACACCUCAACAAGUUAGAGAGAUAUGCAUAUCCAGGGAUUUUUUGCCAGGUGGUAGGAGAGAUUAUACAGUCCAAGUUCAGUUGAGACUUUGCCUGGCAGAGACAAGUUGCCCUCAAGAAGAUAACUAUCCAAAUAGUCUAUGUAUAAAAGUAAAUGGGAAGCUAUUUCCUUUGCCUGGCUAUGCACCACCGCCUAAAAAUGGGAUUGAACAGAAGCGCCCUGGACGCCCCUUGAAUAUUACAUCUUUAGUUAGGUUAUCUUCAGCUGUGCCAAACCAAAUUUCCAUUUCUUGGGCAUCAGAAAUUGGGAAGAAUUACUCUAUGUCUGUAUAUCUUGUACGGCAGCUUACAUCAGCCAUGUUAUUACAGAGAUUAAAAAUGAAAGGUAUUAGAAACCCUGAUCAUUCCAGAGCACUAAUUAAAGAAAAACUUACUGCAGAUCCUGAUAGUGAAAUUGCUACAACUAGCCUUCGGGUAUCCUUGAUGUGCCCUUUAGGAAAAAUGAGGCUGACAAUCCCAUGCCGUGCAGUGACUUGUACACAUCUGCAGUGUUUUGAUGCUGCCCUUUAUCUACAAAUGAAUGAGAAGAAGCCCACCUGGAUUUGUCCUGUGUGUGACAAAAAAGCUGCCUAUGAAAGCCUAAUAUUAGAUGGGCUUUUUAUGGAAAUUCUCAAUGACUGUUCUGAUGUAGAUGAGAUCAAAUUCCAAGAAGAUGGUUCUUGGUGUCCAAUGAGACCGAAGAAAGAAGCUAUGAAAGUAUCCAGCCAACCGUGUACAAAAAUAGAAAGUUCAAGCGUCCUCAGUAAGCCUUGUUCAGUGACUGUAGCCAGUGAGGCAAGCAAGAAGAAAGUAGAUGUUAUUGAUCUUACAAUAGAAAGCUCUUCUGACGAAGAGGAAGACCCUCCUGCCAAAAGGAAAUGCAUCUUUAUGUCAGAAACACAAAGCAGCCCAACCAAAGGGUUUGUUAAUUUAUAGUUCACUAUUGUUCAUUACCCUUGCAACUAAUUGCUCUUGGAUAGAUUUAUAAAUGUCUCUUUGGGAAAUGGCAUAACUGUAGAAGGCUAUUUUAAUUUGCCUUUGUUGAGUUGAAAUAUUUUCGAGUAAGCACAUUGUUUAUAGGAAGCAAAUUUUGAUGGAGAAAAUAUUUACAUCUUUGGAAA